CAAUAGCGUAUAUUAAAGUUGUUGCAGUUAAAAAGCUCGUAGUUGGAUUUCUGGUAGGAGCGACCGUGCCGAACUUGAUUGUUCGAGUAUUGUGUUGUCUUCAGCCAUCCUCGUGGAGAACUUUUCUAACAUUAACUUGUUGGGAUUGGGACCCGCGUCGUUUACUGUUAAAAAAUUAGAGUGUUUAAAGCAGGCAUUAGCUUGAAUACAUUAGCAUGGAAUAAUAAGAUAGGACUUUGGUACUAUUUUGUUGGUUUGCAUACCAAAUUAAUGAUCAACAGGAACAGUUUGAGGAUAUUCGUAUGAACAUGUCAGAGGUGAAAUUCUUGGAUUUUGAUCAGACGAACUACUGCGAAAGCAUUUAUCAAGGAUGUUUUCAUUAA
rnacentral:rRNA from 1 species